rnacentral:lncRNA from 1 species
CCGUGAUAGAGAGUACAUGAAGGUUCACGAUUCUCCCGCUGGCCACUGCCACAUAGAAAUUUCCGGUCGGCUCUCGAUGCUACCGUACAAGCUAUUUCACCGCACAAGCACUGGUACACACGAUGUGUGUGUGUGUGUGAGAGAAAGAGUGGAAAAAGCGCAUGCAGCAGUGCAACAUCGGUAAAGGGUGAAAUGUUUACUUGAAGGUAAUUUAUUUACUAUGAAUAAUCAGCUGCUUAAUACCAGUAUUGAUUGGUCCGGCUACUUAUCAGAUUAUGAACACAAGUAUUUUGAGUCGAUGACAGCACUUGCUACGCUUACAAUUGCCGACAGUCACAAGUAAAGUAAAAGCUUAAUAAGUAUUAUAAUUAAAU